rnacentral:rRNA from 1 species
AUUGAACGCUGGCGGCAUGCCUUACACAUGCAAGUCGAACGGUAACAGGUCUUCGGAUGCUGACGAGUGGCGAACGGGUGAGUAAUACACCGGAACGUGCCUAGUAGUGGGGGAUAACUACUCGAAAGAGUGGCUAAUACCGCAUGAGAUCUACGGAUGAAAGCAGGGGAUCGCAAGACCUUGUGCUACUAGAGCGGCCGAUGGCAGAUUAGGUAGUUGGUGGGAUAAAAGCUUACCAAGCCGACGAUCUGUAGCUGGUCUGAGAGGACGAUCAGCCUCACUGGGACUGAGACACGGCCCAGACUCCUACGGGAGGCAGCAGUGGGGAAUUUUGGACAAUGGGCGCAAGCCUGAUCCAGCAAUGCCGCGUGCAGGAUGAAGGCCUUCGGGUUGUAAACUGCUUUUGUACGGAACGAAAAGCCCUGGGUUAAUACCCUGGGGUCAUGACGGUACCGUAAGAAUAAGCACCGGCUAACUACGUGCCAGCCGCCGCCGUAA